GGGAUUGCCCUAGUAACGGCGAGUGAAGCGGCAACAGCUCAAAUUUGAAAUCUGGCGCAAGCCCGAGUUGUAAUUUGUAGAGGAUGCUUCUGGGUAGCGGCCGGUCUAAGUUCCUUGGAACAGGACGUCAUAGAGGGUGAGAAUCCCGUAUGUGACUGGCUUGCACCCUCCACGUAGCUCCUUCGACGAGUCGAGUUGUUUGGGAAUGCAGCUCUAAAUGGGAGGUAAAUUUCUUCUAAAGCUAAAUACCGGCCAGAGACCGAUAGCGCACAAGUAGAGUGAUCGAAAGAUGAAAAGCACUUUGGAAAGAGAGUUAAAAAGCACGUGAAAUUGUUGAAAGGGAAGCGCCCGCAACCAGACUUUGCGGCAGUGUUCGGCCGGUCUUCUGACCGGUUUACUCGCUGUCGUGAGGCCAUCAUCGUCUGGGACCGCUGGAUAAGACCUUAGGAAUGUAGCUCCCCUCGGGGAGUGUUAUAGCCUCUGGUGAUGCAGCGCGUCUCGGGCGAGGUCCGCGCUUCGGCAAGGAUGAUGGCGUAAUGGUUGUCGGCGGCCCGUCUUGAAACACGGACCAAGGAGUCUAACAUCUAUGCGAGUGUUCGGGUGUCAAACCCCUACGCGUAAUGAAAGUGAACGGAGGUGGGAACUUUUUGUGCACCAUCGACCGAUCCUGAUGUCCUCGGAUGGAUUUGAGUAAGAGCAUAGCUGUUGGGACCCGAAAGAUGG
rnacentral:rRNA from 2 species